rnacentral:lncRNA from 1 species
UUCAAAAAUGAAUUCAAGUCCUCAGGCAUCAACACAGCCUCUUCUGCAGCUUCCAAGGAGAGGACUGCCCCUCACAAAAGUAAUACCGGAUUCCCCAAGCUGCUUUGUGCCUCACUGUUGAUAUUUUUCCUGCUAUUGGCAAUCUCAUUCUUUAUUGCUUUUGUCAGAUUUCAUCUUCCAGAAUCUGCAAGAAGAAUCUGCUUAUUUUGUGGGGCUCUCAGAUCCAGAAGGUCAGCGACAUUGGCAAUGGGUUGAUCAGACACCAUACAAUGAAAGUUCCACAUUCUGGCAUCCACGUGAGCCCAGUGAUCCCAAUGAGCGCUGCGUUGUGCUAAAUUUUCGUAAAUCA